rnacentral:rRNA from 3 species
GGACUACCCGGGUUUCUAAUCCCGUUCGCUCCCCUGGCUUUCGCGUCUCAGCGUCAGAUGGCGUCCAGGACCGCGCUUUCGCCACGGGCGUUCCUUCCGAUCUCAACGCAUUUCACCGCUCCACCGGAAGUUCCCGAUCCCCCUACGCCCCUCCAGGCCGGUCGUAUCGGCGCCCCUUCCCCGGUUGAGCCGGGGGAUUUCAGCGACCGACGUGCCGGCCCGCCUACACGCGCUUUAAGCCCAGUGAUUCCGAAUAACGUUCGCACGGUUCGUCUUACCGCGGCUGCUGGCAC